ACAACUCAAGUGAAAUUUGAAAUUAAUUGAAGUUUAAUAACACAAAUUAAAUCUAUUAUUGUUCUAAUUUUGUGUAUUAAUCAGUAAUUUUAAGCUUCAAAGGUAGAAUUCAUUUCGCAUUAGAGUUCAAUCCAAUAUAAAAAUUCAGUAAGCAAAAUUCAAAACCAAUAACAUAGUUCCAAUUUCCACAUCGUUGAUCCUUUACAAUCCCUCUCUCUUUCACAUUUUUAUUUCCCUUUCCUUGUACUGUUAUACGUAUCAAACUCUUAUUACAAUUACUUAACUCCAAAUAAUUAAUUCUGUUUCAGGAAAACAUUUUGUUUCCUUAACAAAACCAAAAAAACAAUAGAGAAAGAGAAUAAGAGAAAUGCACGCUCACCCAUCACCUGUAGGCUGCUUGAAGAAACACGUCAUCGACGGCGACUCCUUAUCCUCUUACUCCGCACCUCGACCCAUUGGCAUCGCGUCAGCAGUAAAGUAGUGACCAUCAUUCACAGUUUGAACUUCGUACAAAUCGCAGGCACAGAUGCUGCUUUUGCUUCGAAUGGAAAUUCUUGAAUUGUGGAAAGGUUUGCGGUUGGUUUCACUUUUCAGGCUUUCAACCUUCAGCCUCAGGUUUGCCUUUUAC
rnacentral:lncRNA from 1 species